rnacentral:RNase_P_RNA from 1 species
UCAGUAAAUCAGACGGCCGCGGUCAUAGAAAUAUGGCUGAGGAAAGUCCGGGCUCCGCAGGACAGGAUGCAGGCUAACGGCCUGUGGAGGCGACUCUAAGGACAGUGCAACAGAAAAUAAACGCCGUCUUUUUGGACGGUAAGUGUGGAAAUGUGCGGUAAGAGCGCACAGGGGCGAUGGUGACUGAAGCCCCGUGUAAACCCCAUCCGGAGCAACUUUGGGAAAAUUAAGCUUGUCCGGCGUUUUCCCUUGAAAGGCGUGAACGCGCCGGUAACGGCGCGGCAAGAUAGAUGGCCGUCUAAUACAGAACCCGGCUUACAGAUUUGCUGACAAG